UACGUAGGGGGCAAGCGUUGUCCGGAAUCAUUGGGCGUAAAGCGCGUGUAGGCGGCUCAGUAAGUCUGCUCUGAAAGCCCGGGGCUCAACCCCGGGAGGCGGGUGGAUACUGCUGAGCUCGAGUCCGGAAGAGGAGUGUGGAAUUCCUGGUGUAGCGGUGAAAUGCGCAGAUAUCAGGAAGAACACCAAUGGCGAAGGCAGCUCUCUGGGACGGUACUGACGCUGAGACGCGAAAGCGUGGGGAGCGAACAGG
rnacentral:rRNA from 1 species